AACGAACGCUGGCGGCAUGCCUAACACAUGCAAGUCGAACGAAGCCUUCGGGCUUAGUGGCGCACGGGUGCGUAACGCGUGGGAAUCUGCCCUUCGGUUCGGAACAACAGUUAGAAAUGACUGCUAAUACCGGAUGAUGACGUAAGUCCAAAGAUUUAUCGCCGAAGGAUGAGCCCGCGUAGGAUUAGCUAGUUGGUAAGGUAAAAGCUUACCAAGGCGACGAUCCUUAGCUGGUCUGAGAGGAUGAUCAGCCACACUGGGACUGAGACACGGCCCAGACUCCUACGGGAGGCAGCAGUGGGGAAUAUUGGACAAUGGGCGAAAGCCUGAUCCAGCAAUGCCGCGUGAGUGAUGAAGGCCUUAGGGUUGUAAAGCUCUUUUACCA
rnacentral:rRNA from 1 species